CAAUAGCGUAUAUUAAAGUUGUUGCAGUUAAAAAGCUCGUGGUUGGAUUUCGGGGCAGCCUGGCUGGUCCGCCGCAAGGCGAGUACUGGUCAGCCGCCCUUCCUCUCGAAAGCCCCGACUGCUCUUCGUUGCAGUGGUCGGGUAGUUCGGGACGUUUACUUUGAAAAAAUUAGAGUGUUCAAGGCAGGCCUACGCCUGAAUACAUUAGCAUGGAAUAAUGGAAGAGGACCUCGGUCCUAUUUUGUUGGUUUCCAGGGCCGAAGUAAUGAUUAAGAGGGACAGUUGGGGGCAUUCGUAUUUAAUUGUCAGAGGUGAAAUUCUCGGAUUUAUGAAAGACGAACAACUGCGAAAGCAUUUGCCAAGGAUGUUUUCAUUAA
rnacentral:rRNA from 1 species